UUACGGCCGUAUCACGUCGAAACACCGGAUCUCGUACGAUCACCGAAAUUAAAGCAACGCCGAGUUUGGUCAGUACAUAAAUGGGUGACCGCUUGGGAAUGCCAGGUGUUAUA